rnacentral:rRNA from 1 species
GACUCUCGGCAAACGAUAUCUCCACUCUCUCAUUGACGAAGAACGUAACGAAAUACGAUACAUGGUGUGAAUUGCAUAAUUGUGUGCACCAUUGAGUUUUUGAACGCAAGUUAUGCCCGAAGUCAUUAGUCCGAGGACACGUUUUUUAGUUUUU